CACACAUCCUCCGGCACCUGGUGAUGGAGCGGAGCUGUCCCAGAUCAGUCAAGUGGACACACUGGAACAGGUCUGAGAAGGACAAGAGACAGUAAAAUCAAUGUGGCCCCGUCCACCCCCGCCCCUACCAUCACGCCAUCAUGAUCUCUGUCUCUCAGUGAGGUGAAGUCAGUAGACGGUGUGCACAAUGACACCUGUCAGAGUUGAUAUUUUUGAAAAGCUUAAAUAAAGGGACUUUAAAUGCCUCA